rfam:Nicotiana attenuata strain TT chromosome 7, whole genome shotgun sequence.
AUUCCACUAUGUUGACACUUUCUAACAAUCUCCUUAAACCUUUCCCAUGCUUCAAACACAGUUUCAGUCUCGUUAUGGAAGAAGUCAUGGAUUUCUCUUCUAAACUU